rnacentral:rRNA from 2 species
GGGUUGUGAGGUUAAGCGACUAAGCGUACACGGUGGAUGCCCUGGCAGUCAGAGGCGAUGAAGGACGUGCUAAUCUGCGAUAAGCGCCGGUAAGGUGAUAUGAACCGUUAUAACCGGCGAUUUCCGAAUGGGGAAACCCAGUGUGAUUCGUCACACUAUCAUUAACUGAAUCCAUAGGUUAAUGAGGC